GUUUGAUCCUGGCUCAGAUUGAACGCUGGCGGAAUGCUUUACACAUGCAAGUCGAACGGUAGAGGGGGCAACCCCUUGAGAGUGGCGAACGGGUGAGUAAUAUAUCGGAACGUGCCCAGUCGUGGGGGAUAACGUAGCGAAAGUUACGCUAAUACCGCAUACGAUCUAAGGAUGAAAGCGGGGGAUCGCAAGACCUCGCGCGACUGGAGCGGCCGAUAUCAGAUUAGGUAGUUGGUAGGGUAAAGGCCUACCAAGCCAACGAUCUGUAGCUGGUCUGAGAGGACGACCAGCCACACUGGAACUGAGACACGGUCCAGACUCCUACGGGAGGCAGCAGUGGGGAAUUUUGGACAAUGGGCGAAAGCCUGAUCCAGCCAUUCCGCGUGCAGGAUGAAGGCCCUCGGGUUGUAAACUGCUUUUGUACAGAACGAAAAGGUUUCUAUUAAUACUAGGAGCUCAUGACGGUACUGUAAGAAUAAGCACCGGCUAACUACGUGCCAGCAGCCGCGGUAAUACGUAGGGUGCAAGCGUUAAUCGGAAUUACUGGGCGUAAAGCGUGCGCAGGCGGUUAUAUAAGUCAGAUGUGAAAUCCCCGGGCUCAACCUGGGAACUGCAUUUGAGACUGUAUAGCUAGAGUACGGUAGAGGGGGAUGGAAUUCCGCGUGUAGCAGUGAAAUGCGUAGAUAUGCGGAGGAACACCGAUGGCGAAGGCAAUCCCCUGGACCUGUACUGACGCUCAUGCACGAAAGCGUGGGGAGCAAACAGGAUUAGAUACCCUGGUAGUCCACGCCCUAAACGAUGUCAACUGGUUGUUGGGUCUUAACUGACUCAGUAACGAAGCUAACGCGUGAAGUUGACCGCCUGGGGAGUACGGCCGCAAGGUUGAAACUCAAGGAAUUGACGGGGACCCGCACA
rnacentral:rRNA from 1 species